GUUGUUUGCCCUGAUUGUUUUGUAAAUUGUAUGCAGAUGGAACUGGUAUUGUUAACUAGAAGGAAGUUGCUUCAGAAAGGUGAUUACAAUCGCGUUCAAGACUCUGAAAUGUAUAUGUUUAGUACUUUUGAUUAAGGUAUUACACCUUUUGUUAAUCUUAAUCACUAUGAUGUCCCUCAAGCACUUCAAGAGAGAUAUAGUGGACUGUUAAGCCGCGAAAUUGUGAAGUAUUUUGUUGAUUAUGCAGAAUUCUGUUUCCAGAUGUGUAUGGAGACAGGGUUAAAAAUUGGUUUACAUUUAAUGAACCUAGAGUGGUUACUGUUCAAGGAUUUGAUGAAGGUUCUUUCCCAUCAGGAAGAUGCUCUUAGUUCUUCAAAUGCUUUCAUGCUCUCUGCAUCAAAGCCUCAUUCAAACUGAAAUUUCAAAACAAAUUUAUAUCAACGACUAAGAAAUACUGAAGAUAGAGUUGUUAGCCUCCAUGUACAUGCAGUUUGCGAAUCGCUUUUGUACUAUUAUCAUUAAAUAUGAGAACUGGUGAUUUUCAAAUCAAAAGAUACACGGAAAGCAAAUCGGACUCCUUGCAGAACCAAAAGUUCUCUGUUUGGUUCCUUCUCAGGUCCAUCUACUGCAUCAAGUUCUGAUGCAAUACGCUUUAUGUACUUACGCGCCAAUUGUACAGAAUAGAGCUUAAUCUGUCACUAUAUAGGCGUUUUGGUGGUGGGGGCAUGUUAAGGUAGCAGAUCUCCAGCUACGAAUUGGAACAUGUUGGCAAGUUGCUUUGUGAGCUUUCUCGAGUUGUCAUCUUGAGUUAUAUUAUGAUUAGCAGCAGCAAUAGUAGCUAUAGUAAGUAUCUUAUAUUUCUACAAGAAUUUAGGGAUCAUUGCUCCAUUACCUUUGGCUUCUAAUGAUUAUGCAUAUCAAGAAACCAACUGAAUAUCUUUUAAAGAAAUAAUAUUCAUGGUUCAGUUAUUUUGUGUAACUAGAAAUGAUUCUAGGGACUUUUGUGUUUUAUU